rnacentral:rRNA from 1 species
AACGAACGCUUGCGGCAUGCCUAACACAUGCAAGCCGAACGAGAUCUUCGGGUCUAGUGGCGCACGGGUGCGUAACGCGUGGGAAUCUGCCCUUUGGUUCGGAAUAACAGUUGGAAACGACUGCUCACACCGGAUGAUCACUAAAGUGCAAAGAUUUAUCGCCGGAGGAUGAGCCCGCGUAGGAUUAGUCAGUUGGUGGGGUAAAGGCGCACCAAGGCGACGAUCCUUAGUUGGUCUGAGAGGAUGAUCAGCCACACUGGGACUGAGACACGGCCCAGACUCCUACGGGAGGCAGCAGUGGGGAAUAUUGGACAAUGGGCGAAAGCCUGAUCCAGCAAUGCCGCGUGAGUGAUGAAGGCCUUAGGGUUGUAAAGCUCUUUUACCCGGGAUGAUAAUGACAGUACCGGGAGAAUAAGCUCCGGCUAACUCCGUGCCAGCAGCCGCCGUAA